CCUACGGGAGGCUGCAGUGAGGAAUAUUGGUCAAUGGACGAGAGUCUGAACCAGCCAAGUAGCGUGAAGGAUGACUGCCCUAUGGGUUGUAAACUUCUUUUAUAUGGGAAUAAAACGUUCCACGUGUGGGAUUUUGUAUGUACCAUAUGAAUAAGGAUCGUCUAACUCCGUGCCAGCAGCCGCGGUAAUACGGAGGAUCCGAUCGUUAUCCGGAUUUAUUGGGUUUAAAGGGAGCGUAGGUGGAUUGUUAAGUCAGUUGUGAAAGUUUGCGGCUCAACCGUAAAAUUGCAGUUGAAACUGGCAGUCUUGAGUACAGUAGAGGUGGGCGGAAUUCAUGGUGUAGCGGUGAAAUGCUUAGAUAUCACGAAGAACUCCGAUUGCGAAGGCAGUUCACUGGACUGCAACUGACACUGAGGCUCGAAAGUGUGGGUAUCAAACAGGAUUAGAUACCCCAGUAGUC
rnacentral:rRNA from 1 species